UUGCGAACGGGUGAGUAACGCGUAGGUAACCUGCCUGGUAGCGGGGGAUAACUAUUGGAAACGAUAGCUAAUACCGCAUAACAGCAAAUGUUGCAUGACAUUUGCUUAAAAGAUGCAAUUGCAUCACUACCAGAUGGACCUGCGUUGUAUUAGCUAGUUGGUGGGGUAACGGCUCACCAAGGCGACGAUACAUAGCCGACCUGAGAGGGUGAUCGGCCACACUGGGACUGAGACACGGCCCAGACUCCUACGGGAGGCAGCAGUAGGGAAUCUUCGGCAAUGGACGGAAGUCUGACCGAGCAACGCCGCGUGAGUGAAGAAGGUUUUCGGAUCGUAAAGCUCUGUUGUAAGAGAAGAACGAGUGUGAGAGUGGAAAGUUCACACUGUGACGGUAUCUUACCAGAAAGGGACGGCUAACUACGUGCCAGCAGCCGCGGUAAUACGUAGGUCCCGAGCGUUGUCCGGAUUUAUUGGGCGUAAAGCGAGCGCAGGCGGUUAGAUAAGUCUGAAGUUAAAGGCUGUGGCUUAACCAUAGUACGCUUUGGAAACUGUUUAACUUGAGUGCAAGAGGGGAGAGUGGAAUUCCAUGUGUAGCGGUGAAAUGCGUAGAUAUAUGGAGGAAC
rnacentral:rRNA from 1 species